GAGCAUGCUGUGACAAUGCCUUGCACCUGGGUGAUGGCCUGUGCGUACGCCCCCUCCGGCUGUGCUGUAGCCUGUGGGGGUCUGGACAAUAAAUGCUCAGUGUAUCCUCUGUCCCUGGACAAGAAUGAGAACUUGGCAGCAAAGAAGAAGUCGGUGGCCAUGCACACAAACUACCUGUCUGCCUGCAGCUUCACUAAUUCAGACAUGCAGGUGAGAGACGAAGCGCCGGGAGGGCGGAGUCAGUGGAAGGGAGGGAAAACACAAGCAGAGCUUUUUGUUUUCUUCAUAAAGCUAUCACAUCAAUAUUUAAGAAAGAACAUGAAAAACAUCCAUUAAGGCCACUAAGUAUGUGGUAAGUAUGAGGUUUCAUCAUUACCAAUUAUAUUUGACUCUUUUAUUCUUGAAGAACAGAAAAAAAUCAAAAUAUAUUUAUCAUGAAAGCAAUUUAAUGUAAAAACAAUUAACUUAAAUGUAGUGUUUAAAUGAGAAAACAUGGAAAGAAACUGUGUGAUGAUUGCAGCAAAAAAUAAAAAAAUAAAUGUGGGAAAA